rnacentral:tRNA from 1 species
GGGGUCUUAGCUCAGUUUGUAGAGCGCCUCAAUGGCAUUGAGGAGGUCAGGGGUUCGAAUCCCCUAGGCUCCA